rnacentral:ribozyme from 1 species
AAAAAAAAAAAAAAAAAAAAAACAGUGAAAUAUUUCUACAUCCAGUAUCAUUCCAAACAAUUAGGGUUUACUUCUCUCUCUCUCUCUCUCUCUCUCUUUAUUC